rnacentral:tRNA from 1 species
UCCCUGGUGGUCCAGUGGCUAAGACUCUGUACUCCCAGUGCAGGGGGCCUGGGUUCAAUCCCUAGUCAAGGAA